rnacentral:rRNA from 1 species
UACGUAGGUGGCUAGCGUUAUCCGGAAUUAUUGGGCGUAAAGAGCGCGCAGGUGGUUAAUUAAGUCUGAUGUGAAAGCCCACGGCUUAACCGUGGAGGGUCAUUGGAAACUGGUUGACUUGAGUGCAGAAGAGGGAAGUGGAAUUCCAUGUGUAGCGGUGAAAUGCGUAGAGAUAUGGAGGAACACCAGUGGCGAAGGCGGCUUCCUGGUCUGCAACUGACACUGAGGCGCGAAAGCGUGGGGAGCAAACAGG